rnacentral:rRNA from 1 species
UAAGAUUAGACCUCAGAUCCAGGCAGAUUACCCGCUGAACUUAA